rnacentral:rRNA from 1 species
UACGUAGGGUGCAAGCGUUGUCCGGAAUUAUUGGGCGUAAAGAGCUCGUAGGCGGUCUGUCGCGUCUGCUGUGAAAACUCAGGGCUUAACCCUGAGCUUGCAGUGGGUACGGGCAGACUAGAGUGCGGUAGGGGAGACUGGAAUUCCUGGUGUAGCGGUGAAAUGCGCAGAUAUCAGGAGGAACACCGGUGGCGAAGGCGGGUCUCUGGGCCGUAAACUGACGCUGGAGGAGCGGAAAGCAUCGGGGAGCGAACAGG